CGGGGUGCACCAGGCGCGAAACCUUUGCAAUAGGCGAAAGCCUGACAGGGUUACUUUGAGUGACGUUUGUUAAGAGAGUCUUUUGGCACCUCUAAAAAGGGUGUAGAAUAAGGGGUGGGCAAGUCUGGUGUCAGCCGCCGCGGUAAUACUAGCACCCCGAGUGGUCGGGAUGAUUAUUGGGCCUAAAGCAUCUGUAGCCGGUUCUGCAAGUCCUCCGUUAAAUCCAAGUGGUUAACAGAUGGUCCGUGGAGGAUACUACAGACCUAGGAGGCAGGAGAGGCAAGAGGUACUCAGUGGGUAGGGGUAAAAUCCGUUGAUCCAUUGAAGACCUCCAGUGGCGAAGGCGGCUUGCCAGAAUGCGCUUGACGGUGAGGGAAGAUAGCUGGGGGAGCAAACCGGAUUAGAUACCCGGGUAGUCCCAGCCGUUAACGAUGCAGACUCGGUGAUGGGUUGGUUUUGUGCUAACCCAGUGCCGCAGGGAAGCCGUUAAGUUUGCCGCUCUGGGUAGUACGGUCGCAAGCCUGAAACUUAAAGGAAUCGGCGGGGGAGCAC
rnacentral:rRNA from 1 species